UGUUUUUAACCUUGAAAUAUGAUUGUCUAUCUUUAUGUUUAAGUUGCUUAUAGAAAUAAACUUGACUUUGUUGUUUCAGACAAAAACCAGACUCGUCUGAGAAACUUGGCACUUGUAAAUCUUUUGGACAGAAACAAGCUGGUAGAAUGUGAAGAUUAAAAAGUUAUGAAGCAGCCAACUAAAGUCAUGUACAGAUAAACCACUAUAGGAGAGAUGGAGAGUCAUGUACUAAUAAAGCAGCCACAGGCUUUUCAGGUACGUGUGUUUGUGAUAAGAAAGCACAUAGAAAGAAUUUGAUAAUCUGUGAAGUCGGGUCAACAAGUAUUGGUGGUACCAUAGGAACAAACUGAUAUGGAUCUUCUGGCCCAUAUGCUGAACCCGUGACCCGUCACUUGUGAAUGACCCAAUUAAACCCAACAGUUAAAUGAGCUGAAGAUCCUCUUAAACCAAGAAGUAGGUUACUUGGGAUGUGGGCAGGUCAGAAGGGGAGAGUAAUGAGUCAA